GAUGAACGCUAGCUACAGGCUUAACACAUGCAAGUCGAGGGACCGGCGCACGGGUGUGUAACACGUAUCCCACCUGCCCUUUACUCGGGGAUAGCCUUUCGAAAGAAAGAUUAAUACCCGAUGUAAAGGAUGGGGAUGCGUUCCAUUAGGUUGUUGGUGAGGUAACGGCUCACCAAGCCUUCGAUGGAUAGGGGUUCUGAGAGGAAGUUCCCCGAGAUUGGAACUGAGACACGGUCCAAACUCCUACGGGAGGCAGCAGUGAGGAAUAAAUGUCAAUGGGCGUUAGCCUGAACCAGCCAAGUAGCGUGAAGGAUGAAGGCUUAUGGGUCGUAGACUUCUGUUAUAUAAGAAUAUGUAUUAUAUGAAUAAGGAUCGGCUAACUCCGUGCCAGCAGCCGCGGUAAUAC
rnacentral:rRNA from 1 species